GUGUGCCAUACACAUUCAGAACACAGGAAUACAGAGAACCUGAAAAUUACUGGAAGCAAAAGUAGAAAGAAUAAAAAUGGAAAACUUUUUCUGUAUUGCAUUAAAAAAAAAAUCACGACUUCUUCUGGAAAGAGGCAAAUGAGACAAACAUUGGCUUCAUUUUACAAGAGGAGGCUCGAAGCCCGUUUUGAACACCAACAGCAUGUGCAGUGCUGUGUGCUGAGGGUCUGCACCUGGAGACUCCCACCUAAGAUGGGGGUUUAGAUGAGACCACUCUGGGAGGACACGCAGCCGAGUGUGGAGGCCCCGAGGAAGAUCAGCUCUGAAGACACAGGCAGGCAAAGGGCAGACCUCGAAGGAGAUGGAGGAGGAAUGACAGAGGGCAAGAAGAAUCAGGUUUACUGUCUGCCAGGCUGCCAAACCCCAACCCUCGCCACAUCCGCAGCCACCACGUAAAGUGACUGUUAGAACUUCAAACGAAGGAUCUGACCCCCGGAAAUGGCCUCAUGCUAGUUUUUUCCUAAACAGUCACCAGGAAAAUGACGGAAGGCAAAUCGAAACGCAUGCCCUGAAAGACUUAGAACAUAACCAUCACAUCUGGGGGACAAGAAGCCCACCCCAACUUAAUUUAAAAAGGAAACACAGCAGAUGUCAUCAGUUGGCAGGGAGGUGUCUUGAAGGAAAGAAGGAGGGGAAUGAGAGGGCUGUGGAUCACCAUGCAGCUUUACCUUAACACCUGCAUCUCCUCGGGGGAGCAUUGCAUCUCGUCCUGGAGGCGACGCCAGCGCAGACAAGCCCUCAGCUCCUGCUGCUCCCGGGCCUCAUAGGGGGCCAGCUGCUCAGCCACAGACACACAGACACACAUGCACAAAACACAGUCACUGUUGUGGUCCUGGUGCAAUGGCUCACUUUGUUUCAAUGGGGGACAAGAUAGCCUGCCCCUGCUCUCACCUUGCUUCCAUCAGAAACCUAAAGGCCACUGGAGCCUCUUAGUGCCUAAAACAAAAAACCAACCGUGCACGCUCGCUUGUGCUGCUGGCCGUGGAGCUGGGCCUGCUGUUUGGCGGAGGUCGCCUUGUUCUGGAACCCACCCAUCCCACCGACACACACCUGGUCUGGAGAGAGUGGGCUUCCCUUGGGACCAUUUCCACUUUGAUCUGUCCUCUUUUCCUGCUUUGUCUUUCUGCACAGGAUGGGGAAGGCCCCACCGUUCACCUCCGAUUUUCCCCAGCCCUCAAUUUUGUUAAGGACUGUUUCCAGCGGGGCCUGCUAAUGCAACCCAGAUGAUUCUGUGUGCACAUAACUAGAAGUGCUGCCUGGACUCACUCUGGGGGAGGGGAGGCCAUCACACUCUGCCCUACUGAGUCAGAACCAGCUGCCGUCCCAUGGUGUGCUCACUGGGCCACACGGCCCCGACCUCUGUGAGGGAAGGCAGCAGAGCACCCACUGGGGAGGGAAGACGUCUAUCCACGGGUGUUUCUGGAAAUCAAACUUUCCUGAUAAUUCGUUCAACAGAUAUUUACUGAGUCUCUGCUAGGCCAUGGGGACAUUACAGACAGGGCCUGGGGCAGCAGCCAGGGGAGGGAGAGAUGGGCAGGAACACUAACAUCAGAGAGCAGGUGACGGGAGAGGUGAAGGGAGAACCCAGAUGCCCCCUUGCCCACCAGGGCUUCCUGAGGAGGUGGUGGUGACAGCACUGAUCCUCAGGGAAGGAGGAGUCGGCCGGGGAGGAGGGAUUUCGGGAAGAGCACUUGCAAGGCACGUCGGGCCAGGAAGUGUGUGAUGUGCUUAGAGAAUGGCAAGGCAUAUGGUCAGGCCUGGAGCAGACUACCAUUCUGGGAGGGAGCAAGGUGCAGGGAAGCUGGCAGAGGCCAGACGAUCCUCAGACCCCAUGUGCCUGCUGUUAUGGACUAAACUGUGUCUCCACAAAAUAUAUGUGUUGAAGGCCUUACCCCGGUGUGACUGUAUUUGGAGAUAAGGCUUUCAAGGAGGUCAUUAAGGUUAAGUAAGUCAUGAGUGGGGCCCUAAUCCUACAGGGCUGGUGUUCUUAUAAGAAGAGGAAGAGCCAACAGAGCGUACUUUCUCUCUGCAUGCACAGAGGAAAGGCCAUAUGAGAACGCAGAGAAAAAGCAGCUCGUGGCCACCUGCAAGCCAGGAAGAGUGAGGGGCCUCACCAGAAACCAACCCUGCUGGCACCUUGGUCUUGGACUUCCAGCCUCCAGAACUGUGAGGAAUAAACGUCUGUUGUUUAAUUCACCCAGUCUCUGGUAUUUAUUAUGGCAGUCCAAGCAGACUAAUAUGUCUGUGAAGGCAUUUAGACUUUCUCCAGGUUGAUGACAAGUUACACCAUCCAACCUUGCGACUGACUUGAU
rnacentral:lncRNA from 10 species